GCCUAGUUAGCUUAGUUGGUAGUGCGUCUGCCUUGUAAGCGCUAGGCCGCGGGUUCUAUUCCCGCCCGGGGUG
rfam:Asian citrus Psyllid, Diaphorina citri - Florida Strain, whole genome shotgun sequence.